rnacentral:rRNA from 1 species
UCCAGACUCCUACGGGAGGCAGCAGUGAGGAAUAUUGGUCAGUGGCCGAAGGGCUGAACCAGCCAAGCCGCGUGAAGGAAUAAGGCCCUACGGGUCGUAAACUUCUUUAGUCAGGGAACAAAGGGUGCCACGUGUGGCGCUGUGAGUGUACCUGAAGAAUAAGCAUCGGCUAACUCCGUGCCAGCAGCCGCGGUAAUACGGAGGAUGCGAGCGUUAUCCGGAUUUAUUGGGUUUAAAGGGUGCGUAGGCGGAUUUUUAAGUCAGCGGUAAAAUGUCCGGGCUCAACCCGGGCCGGCCGUUGAAACUGGGGAUCUUGAGUGGGCGAGAAGUAUGCGGAAUGCGUGGUGUAGCGGUGAAAUGCAUAGAUAUCACGCAGAACUCCGAUUGCGAAGGCAGCGUACCGGCGCCCAACUGACGCUGAAGCACGAAGGCGUGGGUAUCGAACAGGAUUAGAUACCCUAGUA